GCUUAGGGGACACACCCGUUCCCAUCCCGAACACGAUGGUUAAGACCUAAGCGGCCGAUGGUACUGCACUGGAGACGGUGUGGGAGAGCAGGUGGCUGCCAGCU
rnacentral:rRNA from 1 species